rnacentral:rRNA from 1 species
UAAUACGGAGGGUGCGAGCGUUGUCCGGAAUCACUGGGCGUAAAGGGCGCGUAGGCGGCGGAGUAAGCGUGCGGUGAAAGCUCGGGGCUCAACCCCGAGUCGGCCGUGCGAACUGCUCUCGCUCGAGCAUUGUAGAGGUCGAUGGAAUUCCGGGUGUAGCGGUGGAAUGCGUAGAGAUCCGGAAGAACACCGGUGGCGAAGGCGGUCGACUGGGCAAUGGCUGACGCUGAGGCGCGACAGCGUGGGGAGCAAACAGGAUUAGAUACCCUGGUAGUCCACGCCGUAAACGAUGGGCACUAGAUGCUUGGGGGAGCGACCCUCUGAGUGUCGGCGCUAACGCAUUAAGUGCCCCGCCUGGGGAGUACGGCCGCAAGGCUG